rnacentral:rRNA from 1 species
CCUACGGGCGGCUGCAGUGGGGAAUAUUGGACAAUGGGCGAAAGCCUGAUCCAGCCAUGCCGCGUGUGUGAAGAAGGCCUUCGGGAUGUAAAGCACUUUCAGUGGGGAAGAAAGCCUUGGGGCUAAUACCCUCGAGGAAGGACAUCACCCACAGAAGAAGCACCGGCUAACUCCGUGCCAGCAGCCGCGGUAAUACGGAGGGUGCGAGCGUUAAUCGGAAUUACUGGGCGUAAAGCGCGCGUAGGCGGUCUGAUAAGCCGGUUGUGAAAGCCCCGGGCUCAACCUGGGAACGGCAUCCGGAACUGUCAGGCUAGAGUGCAGGAGAGGAAGGUAGAAUUCCCGGUGUAGCGGUGAAAUGCGUAGAGAUCGGGAGGAAUACCAGUGGCGAAGGCGGCCUUCUGGACUGACACUGACGCUGAGGUGCGAAAGCGUGGGUAGCAAACAGGAUUAGAUACCCCGUAGUC